CGGGUUGUAAAGCCCUUUCGGUGGGGAAGAAAAGUUUCGACCUAACACGUCGGGACCUUGACGUAACCCACUAAAGAAGCACCGGCUAACUCUGUGCCAGCAGCCGCGGUAAUACAGAGGGUGCGAGCGUUAAUCGGAAUUACUGGGCGUAAAGCGCACGCAGGCGGUCUGUCAAGUCGGAUGUGAAAUCCCCGGGCUCAACCUGGGAACUGCAUCCAAAACUGGCAAGCUAGAGUACGGUAGAGGGUGGUGGAAUUUCCUGUGUAGCGGUGAAAUGCGUAGAUAUCUGAAGGAACAUCAGUGGCGAAAGCGACUUCCUGGACGAAUACUGACGCUCAUGUGCGAAAGCGUGGGGAGCAAACAGGAUU
rnacentral:rRNA from 14 species